rnacentral:rRNA from 1 species
GAUGAACGCUGGCGGCGUGCUUAACACAUGCAAGUCGAACGAUGAAGCCCAGCUUGAUGGGUGGAUUAGUGGCGAACGGGUGAGUAACACGUGAGUAACCUGCCCUUAACUCUGGGAUAAGCCUGGGAAACUGGGUCUAAUACCGGAUAGGAGCGCCUACCGCAUGGUGGGUGUUGGAAAGAUUUAUCGGUUUUGGAUGGACUCGCGGCCUAUCAGCUUGUUGGUGAGGUAAUGGCUCACCAAGGCGACGACGGGUAGCCGGCCUGAGAGGGUGACCGGCCACACUGGGACUGAGACACGGCCCAGACUCCUACGGGAGGCAGCAGUGGGGAAUAUUGCACAAUGGGCGAAAGCCUGAUGCAGCGACGCCGCGUGAGGGAUGACGGCCUUCGGGUUGUAAACCUCUUUCAGUAGGGAAGAAGCGAAAGUGACGGUACCUGCAGAAGAAGCACCGGCUAACUACGUG